rnacentral:tRNA from 1 species
GUGGCUCAACUACUUAGGGUUACGCUCGGAUACGCCACAAUUCGCUUUAUUUUGUUAGACUUGCGGUAUUGCGGAGCAACUCAUAAUCCCUUGGUUGGGGGUUCAAAUCCCUCCGGGCCCACCA